GGCCCGGUGGUGCAGUUGGUUAGCACGUCAGCCUGUCACGCUGAAGGUCAGGGGUUCGAGCCCCCUUCGGGUCGCCA
rnacentral:tRNA from 1 species